GCAGAAUACUACUGUUUGGACUGAACUGGGAGUGAUCAGAGACAGGGCAGCUAUAUGAAGAUUUUUUGCAGAAAAUUGGAGUAAUAAAAGGAUCCUGAGAGUCAGGCUAACCUGGAACCACUCCUCUAGGUAGCAACCAGUAAAAUGGGCCUGUCUAGCCAAAGAGGUAGCCACGAGUAUGCAUUUAACUUCUGUCCUAAGCCAAAUGCUUUACCAGAAUCAUGAAGUUGACAAGAAAAGAAAACAAACAACUCCUGAAUUUUAGGAGCUUAAGUUAAAUGUUGUGAGGUGAGACAUAAACUCUGAAAAGAUUUAUACUACAGGGAGAAUCAAAAGAAUACAGAAACACAAUAACUAGAAAGUACCAGUGAGGAGCUGACAGAAAGGAUUUAAUUACCUUCUUUGUGGCUUGAGGACAAGUCUUGAGAUUCAAGUUACACAACCAACCAGAGAAAGAUUCAGCUUUUUUGCACACUAUUGACUCACCUCCCUUUUGUUAUUUCUGCCUGUCACACAGCAAUAAAUAAAAUGUUUUUUAAUACCUA